rnacentral:rRNA from 1 species
UGGGGAAUAUUGCACAAUGGGCGAAAGCCUGAUGCAGCAACGCCGCGUGAGUGAUGAAGUCCUUCGGGUCGUAAAACUCUGUCAUCAAGGAAGAUAAU